rnacentral:rRNA from 2 species
UUCGGGGUACUCGAGUGGCGAACGGGUGAGUAACACGUGGGUGAUCUGCCCUGCGGACUUUGGGAUAAGCCUGGGAAACUCNGGGUCUAAUACCGAAUAGGACCACGCGCUUCAUGGUGUGUGGUGGAAAGCAGUUUUGCGGUGUGGGAUGGGCCCGCGGCCUAUCAGCUUGUUGGUGGGGUAACGGCCUACCAAGGCGACGACGGGUAGCCGGCCUGAGAGGGUGACCGGCCACACUGGGACUGAGAUACGGCCCAGACUCCUACGGGAGGCAGCAGUGGGGAAUAUUGCACAAUGGGCGCAAGCCUGAUGCAGCGACGCCGCGUGAGGGAUGACGGCCUUCGGGUUGUAAACCUCUUUCAAUAGGGACGAAGCGCAAGUGACGGUACCUAUAGAAGAAGCACCGGCCAACUACGUGCCAGCAGCCGCGGUAAUACGUAGGGUGCGAGCGUUGUCCGGAAUUACUGGGCGUAAAGAGCUCGUAGGUGGUUUGUCGCGUUGUUCGUGAAAACUCACAGCUUAACUGUGGGCGUGCGGGCGAUACGGGCAGACUAGAGUACUGCAGGGGAGACUGGAAUUCCUGGUGUAGCGGUGGAAUGCGCAGAUAUCAGGAGGAACACCGGUGGCGAAGGCGGGUCUCUGGGCAGUAACUGACGCUGAGGAGCGAAAGCGUGGGGAGCGAACAGGAUUAGAUACCCUGGUAGUCCACGCCGUAAACGGUGGGUACUAGGUGUGGGUUCCUUCCUUGGGAUCCGUGCCGUAGCUAACGCAUUAAGUACCCCGCCUGGGGAGUACGGCCGCAAGGCUAAAACUCAAAGGAAUUGACGGGGGCCCGCACAAGCGGCGGAGCAUGUGGAUUAAUUCGAUGCAACGCGAAGAACCUUACCUGGGUUUGACAUGCACAGGACGCCGGCAGAGAUGUCGGUUCCCUUGUGGCCUGUGUGCAGGUGGUGCAUGGCUGUCGUCAGCUCGUGUCGUGAGAUGUUGGGUUAAGUCCCGCAACGAGCGCAACCCUUGUCCCUAUGUUGCCAGCGGGUUAUGCCGGGGACUCGUAGGAGACUGCCGGGGUCAACUCGGAGGAAGGUGGGGAUGACGUCAAGUCAUCAUGCCCCUUAUGUCCAGGGCUUCACACAUGCUACAAUGGCCGGUACAAAGGGCUGCGAUGCCGUGAGGUGGAGCGAAUCCUUUCAAAGCCGGUCUCAGUUCGGAUCGGGGUCUGCAACUCGACCCCGUGAAGUCGGAGUCGCUAGUAAUCGCAGAUCUGCAGCAACGCUGCGGUGAAUACGUUCCCGGGCCUUGUACACACCGCCCGUCACGUCAUGAAAGUCGGUAACACCCGAAGCCGGUGGCCUAA